rnacentral:rRNA from 1 species
UACGUAGGUGGCAAGCGUUAUCCGGAAUUACUGGGCGUAAAGCGCACGCAGGCGGUCUUUUAAGUUUGACGUGAAAGCUCCCGGCUUAACUGGGAGAGGUCGUUGAAGACUGGGAGACUUGAGGCAAUGAGAGGGGUGUAGAAUUCCAGGUGUAGUGGUGGAAUGCGUAGAUAUCUGGAGGAAUACCAGUGGCGAAAGCGGCACCCUAGCGUUGUUCUGACGCUCAUGUGCGAAAGCGUGGGGAGCGAACGGG